rnacentral:rRNA from 1 species
CCUACGGGAGACAGCAGUGAGGAAUAUUGGUCAAUGGUCGGGAGACUGAACCAGCCAAGCCGCGUGAGGGAGGAAGGUACAGAGUAUCGUAAACCUCUUUUGUCAGGGAACAAAGGCGGGGACGUGUCCCCGGAUGAGUGUACCUGAAGAAAAAGCAUCGGCUAACUCCGUGCCAGCAGCCGCGGUAAUACGGAGGAUGCGAGCGUUAUCCGGAUUUAUUGGGUUUAAAGGGUGCGCAGGCGGUCUGUUGAGUCAGCGGUCAAAGCCCGGGGCUCAAACCCGGCCCGGCCGUUGAACUGGGCAGGCUCGAGUUGGAGAGAGGUAGGCGGAAUGCGCGGGGUAGCGGUGAAAUGCAUAGAUAUCGCGCAGAAC